UACAGAGGGUGCGAGCGUUUGUUCGGAAUCAUUGGGCGUAAAGCGCUUGUAGGCGGCCUGUCAAGUCGCGUGUGAAAUCCCUUGGCUUAACCAAGGAAGUGCGCGCGAAACUGGCGGGCUUGAGUGCCGGAGAGGGUCGCGGAAUUCCCGGUGUAGAGGUGAAAUUCGUAGAUAUCGGGAGGAACACCAGUGGCGAAGGCGGCGACCUGGACGGACACUGACGCUGAGACGCGAAAGCGUGGGGAGCAAACAGG
rnacentral:rRNA from 1 species